GUUUAUUUAUCAAAGUAGUUUGGCUGAAUAAAAAUUGUAGAACCUUCUCCAGGAUUAAAUUUGUAAAGAACAUCACUUGAAGGAGAUAAAAUCUUCACAAAAAAGGGGUCACUCACAGCAGUACUCGAGGGACCAUACACUAUGCUGGGAAACAAAACUGGGUUGGCUGCAUUCAAGGUGUGGGCUGGAGCGAUAGCACAACAGUAGGGCAUUUGCCUUGCAUGCAGCCGGCCAGCUGAGUGAGGUUCGAUUCCUCCGCCCCUAACGGAGAGCCCGGCAAGCUACCAAGAGUAUCUUGCCUGCACGGCAAAGCCUGGAGAGCUACCCGUGACGUAUUCAAUGUGCCAGACACAGUAACAAGUCUCACGAUGGAGACGUUACUGGGCCCGCUCGAGCAAAUGCAUGAACAACAGGAGGACAGUGCUACAGUACUACGCAGUUGAAGAAGGCAAAGAUCCUUAAAGAAAUGGUUGAUUUCAGGACUGGGGCAAGACCUAAUCAAGAUGAACCUGAAGCAUCAUGUGACACCACAAAGAGAGGGAAUGAGUGUAGAAGAAAUAGCUAAGAGGACGGAAGAACCUAUGGCUCCGGGCACAUCUCUUUGACUCCACCGGUCUUCCUGCAUUAACAUACGCCUCAGAGGCCUAGGCCCUACAAAAACAGGAUGAGAACGGGUCUCCCAAAGAGGAAUCGAAAGAGCUAUGCUUAGAAUAUCACGCUUCACUCAAGUGAGAGAAGGAAUCCGAAGUUCCGACCUCCAACGACGAUUGAAAAUCAGGGACGCUGUCUUGUUUGCCAAGGCACUGAAAAUCAGAUGGGUUGGACACGUAACACGAUUUGAAGAUGACUGCUGGACUAGAGCCGUUACACAGGAUGUCAAAAGAUAGUGUGGCCACCCACCUACGAGAUGGUCAGACUUCUUCAUCAAGACCCUGAAUGAACAGUUUGAGACUUUGUGUUCCUGGAGCAAGCAGACACCAUUGGGCUACACUAGCACGCGAUAGGGACAAAUGGAGACAUUACUGGUGCCCGCUUGAACAAACUGAUGAGUAACAGACUGGCAAGUGAUCAAGUGAUAUUUCGUUUUGGGGCCACACCUGACUAUUCUCAGGAUUUACUCCUGACACUGAACUCAGGGAUAACUCUUGGCAAGGCACAAGGAAUCAUAGUGGAUGGCAGGUGUGGCUGUAAGCACUUUAUCUGCUGUACUAUCUUUCCGUCCCCAGAGAACAAUCCCCCCACCCACCCCAAUAUAUUUUAAAUAUGCCAAAAUAAUGUAAUAUGUAAUCUUGGUUUAAAAAAACAUUUUGGGAGAGCUAAGCUUUAAAUGUACUAUUUUGCUAUCUUAUUGACAUUUUCUAAUUCCCAAAUACCAGGGGUUAUGCUUUAUGACCUAAAUAUUAUUGCGAUAUUAGACUUACAAAGAGAUCACGAAACCAGAUUAUUGCUGUUCCUUCCUUUUGGAACUCGUAACUUUUCAUACUCCCCUUCAACCUGGCAUCAAGCUUUGCAAAUGCCUGAGGUCCCAGUGAUUUUUCACACCUAAUUUGGGCUCAGUAUCAUCACCACCCCUUCAAAGCAAGCUUGUCAAGGUCAAAAGAUUAAGUGACACCAAAUAACUUCCAUUCUACAUUUCUCCUCACCCAGGGUUAAACCUUGACACAGAAGAGAAACAACUCCAUGCUCAGGUUCUUUAUGGCAUGCUGAGCAAAGAUCCAGAUUGCUACACAUUGAUUAGUAGAGCUGAAAACAAUGAAAUUAUCAAGUUUUGUGUAUAACUGAGCAUAUCAGUCUGUCAAUAUAAAAUACAUUUUUCCACAAAAUAAUAAUUUUGGUAUCAGCUAAGACUACCACUACUACAGUCACCCAAAAUGUAAGCCCUUUCAAUAAUUAAUCCCCUCUAAAUAAAACCCAUUUUUCCUACUGCACUGAUCUCAUUCACUUCUGUUGUAUUCUCUGUACCCUCCACCUCUACCACCAUCACACUUUCACAAUAAUUUUAUUUCCUAGCAGUCCAUUAUGCUAUUCUAUUAUAAAUAAAUGCCUUAAAAUCUGAACAAUUUUACAUUCAGUCUUAUCUAAAUUAAAAUGAAGAGCAAGCUAUUCUUUCUCUCACCUUACA